UUAAGUCUCUUGCCUUUUGGCUUAGAUCAAGUGUAGUAUCUGUUCUUCAUAGUUUAAUCGCUGUGACCUGCCUACGGGCAGUCAAAAUGAUUAUUCUUAUUUUUGGAACUCGUCGAGAGACCUCUGGGCUUGCUCAUGUCUCUCGGCAUAGUGUCGCUCGUAUUGCACUACCUCGGGCUGACGCGAACACCU
rfam:Aureobasidium subglaciale EXF-2481 unplaced genomic scaffold scaffold_1, whole genome shotgun sequence.